AUAUGCAUUCUUUUUCUUAUGCAGUGCUCCCUGGAGUAUUUGGUGAUCUUUUCUAAAGAUUAAGACCUUGUGGAUGUUCAAAUCAACCACAUUUUUGCUGGAACGUAUGCCAACUUUGUGACAACUUACCAGAGGAGCCGGGAUUUUGAAGAAGAAAGUAGAAGAAAUGGUCUGUGAAUGCCAACAGGGAGCGCCUCAUCGUCCUAAGGUCCCUGGAAUGGUGGAGGGAAAAAAGCUUCCUCAUGGUUGAACUCCAGGGAACACCCAGGACUCAGAUCAAGACAGUGAAGGGAAAU